AGGACGAACGCUGGCGGCGUGCCUAACACAUGCAAGUCGAGCGAGGAGAUUCCUCGGGAUGAUCCUAGCGGCGGACGGGUGAGUAACACGUGGGCAACCUGCCUCAUAGAGAGGAAUAGCCUUCCGAAAGGGAGAUUAAUACCUCAUAACAUUGCAGUUUCGCAUGGAACAGCAAAUUAAAGGAGUAAUCCGCUAUGAGAUGGGCCCGCGGCGCAUUAGCUAGUUGGUGAGGUAAUGGCUCACCAAGGCGACGAUGCGUAGCCGACCUGAGAGGGUGAUCGGCCACAUUGGGACUGAGACACGGCCCAGACUCCUACGGGAGGCAGCAGGUGGGGAAUAUUGCACAAUGGGGGAAACCCUGAUGCAAGCAACGCCGCGUGAGUGAUGACGGCCUUCGGGUUGUAAAGCUCUGUCUUCAGGGACGAUAAUGACGGUACCUGAGGAGGAAGCCACGGCUAACUACGUGCCAGCCGCAGC
rnacentral:rRNA from 1 species